rnacentral:rRNA from 1 species
GAUGAACGCUGGCGGCGUGCCUAAUACAUGCAAGUCGAGCGAACAGACGAGGAGUUUGCUCCUCUGACGUUAGCGGCGGACGGGUGUGUAACACGUGGAUAACCCACCUAUAAGACUGGGAUAACUUCGGGACACCGGAGCUAACACCGGAUAAUAUAUUGAACCGCAUGGUUCAAUAGUGAAAGACGGUUUUGCUGUCUCUUAUCGAUGGUUCUGCGCCGCAUUAGCUAGUUGUUAAGGUAACGGCUUACCAAGGCGACGAUGCGUAGCCGACCGGAGAGGGUGAUCGGCGACACUGGAGGGGAGACACGGACAAUACUCCUAAGAGAGGCAGCAGUAGGGAAUCGUCCGCAAUGGGCGAGAGCCUGACAGAGCAGCGCCGCGUGAGUGAUGAAGGUCUUCGGAUCGUAAAACUCUGUUAUUAGGGAAAAACAAAUGUGUACGUAGCUAUGCACGUCUUGACGGUACCUGGUCAGGAAGCCACGGCUAACUACGUG